CAAUAGCGUAUAUUAAAGUUGUUGCAGUUAAAAAGCUCGUAGUUGGGUUUCUGGAUGGAGCGACCGGUCGGGCAUUAAUUUGUCUGCACUGGAGUCGGUUCCGUCCAUCCUCUUGGAAAGUGCGUCGGGCAUUAAGUUGUUUGGCGUAUGAUCCAAGUCGUUUACUGUGAAAAAAUUAGAGUGUUUAAAGCAGGCCUUCGCCUUGAAUACAUUAGCAUGGAAUAAUAAGAUAGGACUUUGGUCUAUUUUGUUGGUUUGCAGACCGAAGUAAUGAUUAAUAGGGAUAGUUGGGGGUAUUUAUAUUCCGAUGUCAGAGGUGAAAUUCUUAGAUUUUCGGAAGAUAAACUUAUGCGAAAGCAUUUACCAAGGAUGUUUUCAUUAA
rnacentral:rRNA from 1 species